rnacentral:tRNA from 1 species
GUUAAGGUGGCAGAGCCCGGUAAUUGUGUAAAAUUAAACUUUUAUAAACAAAGGUUCAAUUCCUCUUCUUAACA